UACGUAGGGUGCGAGCGUUGUCCGGAUUCAUUGGGCGUAAAGAGCGUGUAGGCGGCCAGGUAGGUCGGUUGUGAAAACUGGAGGCUCAACCUUCAGAGGUCGACCGAAACCAUCUGGCUAGAGUCCGGGAGAGGAGAGUGGAAUUCCUGGUGUAGCGGUGAAAUGCGCAGAUAUCAGGAAGAACACCCGUGGCGAAAGCGGCUCUCUGGAACGGUACUGACGCUGAGACGCGAAAGCGUGGGGAGCGAACAGG
rnacentral:rRNA from 1 species